rnacentral:rRNA from 1 species
UGAGCUUGAUUCCUGGCUCAGGACGAACGCUGGCGGCGUGCCUAAUACAUGCAAGUCGAGCGCAGGAAGCCGGCGGAUCCCUUCGGGGUGAAGCCGGUGGAAUGAGCGGCGGACGGGUGAGUAACACGUGGGCAACCUACCUUGUAGACUGGGAUAACUCCGGGAAACCGGGGCUAAUACCGGAUGAUCAUUUGGAUCGCAUGAUCCGAAUGUAAAAGUGGGGAUUUAUCCUCACACUGCAAGAUGGGCCCGCGGCGCAUUAGCUAGUUGGUAAGGUAAUGGCUUACCAAGGCGACGAUGCGUAGCCGACCUGAGAGGGUGAUCGGCCACACUGGAACUGAGACACGGUCCAGACUCCUACGGGAGGCAGCAGUAGGGAAUCAUCCGCAAUGGGCGAAAGCCUGACGGUGCAACGCCGCGUGAACGAUGAAGGUUUUCGGAUCGUAAAGUUCUGUUAUGAGGGAAGAACAAGUGCCGUUCGAAUAGGUCGGCACCUUGACGGUACCUCACGAGAA